AUGUUUGAUAAUGUCAUCUUUAUUUAUCUUUGUAGGUUUGAUUGCUUGGCUCACCUGAAUGUGAUUUCUAAUGCUGAUGUAGGAGAAAUACAGGAUGAACUCACUGAGAUCCUCGCCAAGCGUUACAAAAUUGACCACUAUGAAAUAAAAACAGAUGCUAACUUCAUCUUCAUAUAUACUCUUGAUGAUCUCUUGCCGGACCUGGACACAAACCCACCCUUAACCGCGACUGAGUCUCUGCCUCAUACAACUGAAACACGAACAACCACAAUUCCUCAGCUGACGUCUACAACUACUGAAAUUAUUACUACUGCACAAACAACAGGCACAACACCCAAUCAAGUGGCAAUAACAACAGAAGCUGUUUCAUCCUCAACUGAAACAAAAAAAAUCACUACCUCCACACCAUCCAUGGAAACAACCCUGGGAGGAAGUUCCACAACUUUUUUAUCCUCCACAAGAAGUCUUACAUUCAAUACAGCCGCAUGCUCUUCUACUAUUUCACCUGAAGGAAACAUAUCAGGUCAAAAAUUGCCUUUUUGUUUUCUGUUAUAAAACCAUGUUCUUCAAUGUCAUAUGCAGUUCAUGAUUUUACAAAGUAUGAAAUAUUUAACAAUGUCUCUCUGUAUUGAAUAUAGAAAGUUAUUUCAGUGUCAAUGUCAAUGUGACUAUCAAUGGCUCUGGUGACCCUGAGAACAUAAUUACAACCUGGGUAAGAUAUAAAACUAAGAGAACCUAAAUUCAUCCAAAUACGUUGCAUGUCAAACAGGAAAUAAGUAUCACAUCUCUGCAUCACGUCACAGUUGUUUUAUCAUCACUGCAGCUUCAUGAAACUCUUUCUGGUAAAGGAAUACAUGUGUUGCAUUUUAAACUCUUGACUUCCUCAACACAUGCACAAAAACGAAGGUUAGUCAGUCUUCUUGUUAUUGCAGAGAACAGACCAAACCCCAAGACACACUAUAGAAUUUUUUUAACAUGUCUGAUUUGCGUUUGCAGUGUGGAAACAGAAUCAUUCAAAGUGGAAAGAAAGGUACAAACUUCCAAAUAUUAACAGCAAUUUUCCUUUUUUGUCUACUGAAAUGAACAUUAAAAAAAAAAAUUUUUUUAUUUAUGUUUGUUUUAGAAAUGUUAACUGAAAUUAAAAAUGUUUCUCUAUAUUAGAUACACAAAAAUAAUUCAGUUUUCUAUUAUCUUGUUUAUUUGCCUUGCAGCGGUCUCUGCUUUCAGUAACAAGGUGAGAUGUUCAUUACAAGACAGCAGUUCAGAAAAGUAAACAAUAGUAAACAAUAAUUGUUGUGAACAUACGAUGUGUUUUAAUGGGGUUAUCUGAUAUGGCUUGUUCCCAGCCAUAGCUGUGUUUUUCAUGCCCAGGUAACAACUUACACAGACAUCAGAGAAACAGAAAAAUGGAUUCAUGGGCUUCUGGAGAAACAAUACACCAGUGGAGCAGUACUCUUAAAAGCACAACCUGAGGACAUUUUAAUUUCUUAUAUUGGUAUGUGAUACAUCUGAAGAAAAAUAAAAUCAGAUGAUGACAGAAUCAGACUAUGAUACAUUCUCAGUAAUACAUACCUGUGUUNUAUCUCUUUUCUUAUCUAAAAACAGGGCCAUGUCCUGAGCACAACCAUCACACCAGGCAAGGGCUUUUCAGUUGGUCCCAAACUGGGGUUCAGCGCAACACCUCACUUUCCUGUGUGGGAAACCCUAAAAAGUUAGCCUAUAGACAAUGGUAAGAGCCUCUCUUAAAAAUAUUUGUUUCAACCUAAAUAGAAUUGAAGUUAGAAAUUGCUUCAUAAUUUUUUUAAGAAAACAUUCCAUUUUCUC
rnacentral:lncRNA from 12 species